UUGGGGGAGGUUUCCAGGUUCGCCCAGAGUCCCAUGGAUCGUUUCUCGAAGGAUUUGAGGAGCGGUCAGCAGGCAAAAGUGUUGGCCUUUGAGAUCCUGGGAAACAUGCAAGGCGCAGCUCAGUCUCCCCGCCCGAGGUUUGGCCCCAUGCCAUUCGAGGAGAGAUGCAAAUCACUAGUCGCCAACAGGCUGCCCUUCCCAUCUGCUGACCUUCUAUGUCAUGCCUUUCAGAGGUGCUGAGACUGGCGCUGCAGACACAGCGCAUAAUGAGCAGCCAGUGGAGGUGACAGAGAGCAGUGUUCGCGCUCUUAUAGCAAGAGCUGAAUCGCA
rnacentral:lncRNA from 1 species